CCGGGAAACUCACCAGAUAAGACAGCUGAAUGAUAGUCGGGCUGAAGACUCUACUUGACUAGCUGAGAGGAGGUGCAUGGCCGUCGUCAGUUCGUACUGUGAAGCAUCCUGUUAAGUCAGGCAACGAGCGAGACCCACGCCAACAGUUGCCAGCUCGUCCUCCGGGAUGGAGGGGACACUGUUGGGACCGCCUCUGCUAAAGAGGAGGAAGGAAUGGGCAACGGUAGGUCAGCAUGCCCCGAAUUAUCUGGGCUACACGCGGGCUACAAUGGGUGGGACAAUGGGUAUCGACACCGAAAGGUGAAGGCAAUCUCCUAAACCCAUCCUUAGUUCGGAUUGUGGGCUGCAACUCGCCCACAUGAAGCUGGAAUCUGUAGUAAUCGUGUUUCAAAAUAGCACGGUGAAUAUGUCCCUGCUCCUU
rnacentral:rRNA from 1 species